rnacentral:tRNA from 1 species
GCCCAGGUGGCUCAGCGGUUUAGCGCCUGCCUUCAGCCCAGGGCGUGAUGCUGGAGACCUGGGAUCGAGUCCCACAUUGGGCU